rnacentral:rRNA from 1 species
GACGAACGCUGGCGGCGUGCUUAACACAUGCAAGUCGAACGGAAAGGCCCUGCUUUUGUGGGGUGCUCGAGUGGCGAACGGGUGAGUAACACGUGAGUAACCUGCCCUUGACUUUGGGAUAACUUCAGGAAACUGGGGCUAAUACCGGAUAGGAGCUCCUGCUGCAUGGUGGGGGUUGGAAAGUUUCGGCGGUUGGGGAUGGACUCGCGGCUUAUCAGCUUGUUGGUGGGGUAGUGGCUUACCAAGGCUUUGACGGGUAGCCGGCCUGAGAGGGUGACCGGCCACAUUGGGACUGAGAUACGGCCCAGACUCCUACGGGAGGCAGCAGUGGGGAAUAUUGCACAAUGGGUGGAAGCCUGAUGCAGCAACGCCGUGUGCGGGAUGACGGCCUUCGGGUUGUAAACCGCGUUCGCUCAUGACGAAGCUUUGUGUGACGGUAGUGGGUAAAGAAGCACCGGCUAACUACGUG